UACAGCCACAUCACGUUGAAAUUACGGUUUCCGUGUGAUCACCGACGUUAAGCAACAUUGAACCUGAUCAGUACCUUGAUGGUUGACCGCUUGGGAAUUUUAGGUGCUGUAA